rnacentral:lncRNA from 1 species
AUCAGCAGGGGCUCCAGCAGAAAGUGCUGUUGCAGGAUCUCUUGUGAGUCCCCACCCUUGCUUUGCUCCGCUGGACUUCAAAAAGAUCAGGUAGCUGGAAAAUGAGUAAAUUUGCAUAAACACUGGAAAACCAAACCAACCAAACAACAACAUAAAAACCCUUUUCCUAUGAUUCAAUAUAUUUCUAAAGGACCUAGACCAUCUUGACUGAGGGAUGAACAAACGGCCAGCAAGGACAUCAACUGUCCCAUGUAGAGUCACCUCCUGAUGCCCCCCACCCCCCAGGAUACCGGCAGUUCAGUUCAAGAGUCACCAAACCCAAAUCAGCAAUGGCAGC